CCUACGGGAGGCAGCAGUAGGGAAUCUUCCACAAUGGGCGAAAGCCUGAUGGAGCAACGCCGCGUGGGUGAAGAAGGUCUUCGGAUCGUAAAACCCUGUUGUUAGAGAAGAAAGUGCGUGAGAGUAACUGUUCACGUUUCGACGGUAUCUAACCAGAAAGCCACGGCUAACUACGUGCCAGCAGCCGCGGUAAUACGUAGGUGGCAAGCGUUAUCCGGAUUUAUUGGGCGUAAAGGGAACGCAGGCGGUCUUUUAAGUCUGAUGUGAAAGCCUUCGGCUUAACCGGAGUAGUGCAUUGGAAACUGGGAGACUUGAGUGCAGAAGAGGAGAGGUGAACUCCAUGUGUAGCGGUGAAAUGCGUAGAUAUAUGGAAGAACACCAGUGGCGAAAGCGGCUCUCUGGACUGUAACUGACACUGAGGCACGAAAGCGUGGGGAGCAAACAGGAUUAGAUACCCGUGUAGUC
rnacentral:rRNA from 1 species